UACGUAGGGUGCGAGCGUUAAUCGGAAUUACUGGGCGUAAAGCGUGCGCAGGCGGUUUUGUAAGCCAGAUGUGAAAUCCCCGGGCUCAACCUGGGAAUGGCAUUUGGGACUGCAAGGCUUGAGUGCGGCAGAGGAGACUGGAAUUCAUGGUGUAGCAGUGAAAUGCGUAGAGAUCAUGAGGAAGACCAGUGGCGAAGGCGGGUCUCUGGACAGUUCCUGACACUGAGGCACGAAGGCCAGGGGAGCAAACGGG
rnacentral:rRNA from 1 species